UCAUCACAUAUCAUUUAAGGUGACACUAAAGCAAAACUCUGAAAAAGUUAGUCCUUUAAGAUAACUGCUGCCAGCAUUUAUUAAUCUAUAAAAAGUGUUGGACUCAGUGGUGACAGCUGAAUACUCUCCAGAGUCAACCCACUGGUGAGGGUUGUGGACCAAAUCCCAUGUGGAACCACGACAACUGACAAACUCCUUCCUUCCCUCCUACACAACGCCUUAACAGGAAACAGCAGGACGGUCCUCAUCUACUGUGUUAACCCUCAGGGUAAGAGGUCCUCUGUGCCCAACCACACUAUCGGCAUGGGUGGUGAACUGAUGUACAGCUGACUCUCCUCCUUACUCAUCAGGUCUUGUUGAUGAUGAAACCCCUUCUGCCUUGGAUUUGGCCCAGAAAAUGAGAAGUGCGGCAACUAAAGCCACUGUCAGUCGUUGGUAUCCAAGGGCAACCGAACAAGAGAUCCGAGAAAAGAUCAUGCAUCUCCAAAACGUAAUGAUGUCACAGGGGGAAAGUGACAUUCACAGCAUGUACAAGCUGGCAGAGCUGACUCAAAACCUGCAGGUAACUCUUUAAAUCUUCCUCACCACAACCUGUAGAGACUGAGUUCAUAACUGAAAUACAGCCUGUGAUCUCUCUGACAGAUUGUGAAAAAUCAGUCAUGGGAGAAGAGGAGGGAGGAGUCAAAGAAGAUAAAAGGCAAAACACAGGUUUCUACCCAAAAAUACAAGUUUAGCAAGAUGAUAACAAAUAACACAUGCUCCUGGUGUAAUAUAAUAAGCGCUAUUUUUUGCUCUGAUUCAGCAGAGUUGUCGGACCCCAAACAGCAAUUUUCCCAGCUGCGAUAAUGGUGAGAGCACUGACGCAAUGAAAUAUUUACAAGACCGGCUGAAACAAGAAAUGGAAGAACAUAUCAGAGGUAAUAAGCUGUGAUAUGAGCAAUUCGUCAUCUUAGGGAUAACAGUGAUAUUGAAUGCUUUUCUCAUAUCCACAGAGGGUAAAGGGAAUGUGGAGAAAGUCCAGGAGAGAGUAGCGAGAAUCCAGCAGCUGAAGGAGGCUCUGAGAGAGGAGACACUGAAGAACGGGGCUGUUGUGGAGAAAUCCGACCUCUGUCAACAAUCUCAGUUGGAAUACAAUAAAGCAAAGGAGCGGAGGAGGCAACUUAAGGAGGAUCAUGGGAGAUUAAUUCAAGAGGAGGUGGAGAAGAUGGAGAGAGACUUGGCACAGGAGCAGCUAGCGGUGAGAUAAUGAGAUACACUUGUUUAACAUUAUACAGUUUGUGAUCUAUCUUAGCUAAGGAUGCUGAGUCGGUUUAAAUUAAUGCAAGGCUGGAUUUAUGGUGGGCAGAGGAAACCACUGCAUUUGCAACUUAAUUCUGUUAUUUCCUUGCAUUUUUUAUGGUUUCAUCCAUUCCUCCACUAGACAGAAGGCCCCCAGAGGGAGCUGACGGUGCUGACCAGAGAGAGGCAGGUCCUGGUGCUGCAGAUAGAGGCCUUGCGCACUGAGGCCCUGCAGACUGAGAGAGACCUGCAGGAUCAAUAUCACAGACACCAAGCGGAGCUGCAUUGUCUGAGGGAGGAGAGCCUGCAGGUGUUCAGAGUGUUUCGUCAGGUAAGUGAGGAGCAGAGGAAGAUGUCAGAGGGCAGAUACAGGAGUGUGUUGCUGGAGGCUGUGCAGGAUGCUGUCUACCUCUCUGCCCAGAACCAGCAGCUACAGGCUGACAACAAACAGCUCC